rnacentral:lncRNA from 1 species
AAUUUCUAACAAUGUAUAAUGGUUGGUCUCAAGUGGAAAUGUAUUUAUAUUUCCCAAACAGUUCAUCCUGAUUAAUGGACAGCUUUGCUCCAAGUGGUGUUUCAGGGACUCAAGUACUUUUUAUCUUAUUCUUCCAACAUCUUCAACUCCUGCCAAUGAAAAAUGAAAUAACUGUUUUUGUCCCAUAAAAGCCCUUGAAAUUUUGUUCAUUGUUUUCUAGGCUAUUUUCUGUGUAGGCUAUUUUCUGUUGUUCAGUUUGGCUAAAUUCUGUUGAUCUGUCCUCAAGUUUACUGAGAUUUUUCUAAUUUCAUAUUUGCUUCAAGAGAAUUUGUAAUUGCUUGUUAAAAUACUUUUAUGAUGGUUGCUUUAAAGUAUUUGUCAGGAAAUUCCAACCUCUAAAGCAUCUCUAUUCAUUAUUUGAUCUCAUUCUAGUUGUGGUUUUCCUGGUUCUUGGUAGAAUGAGUGAUUUUCUAUUGUAUCCUAAACAUUUUGGAUACUAUAAGACUCUGGAUGCUAUUUAAUUCUCUUUUUAAGCAGAGAGCACACCUAUUGCAAUGUACUCUGAGGACCAAGAGGGUGGUGUGGGUUGGAGUGAAGCCUAGGAAGUUGAGUUUCUAAACAGGUUCCCAAGUGAUUGUGAUGCUGCCCAGCUAAGGAUUGUCCUUUGAGAAUCACUGGGGAAAAAAGAAAAUAAUUGAAUUAGAUUGAAGGAAACCUGGAUUUCCAUGUUGAGAGCUUUAUUUCCCACUGGGCCUUGUCAAAACCAUGCCAGGAAAAGUGAGGCACAGGCUUUCUUUACUGACCACAAGUGGGGGUUCUGGGGUAUUUUACUUUCCUCCUGGGCCUUGCUGAUCCUGGGGAAGGGAGAAGUGGAAGGCUCAUUCAUGCUCACUUGUUGGAAGGUGGGAUAAGCUUAGCUUCUGGCUGGCAGUUUCUGACACCAGGGGAAGGAAAAGGAGGAAAUGGAGUACAGACUAGCCUCACCUCUCACCAUCCCAUCAUGCUUCAUUGAUAACAAGUGUGGGAGCCCCACCAUUGUUUGGCAUUGCCAUCUCAACUCAUGGCUUCUAGAGUCACUGAGGCAUGGAGGGAAAACAAUGGAGGACCCAGAUGCUCUCAAACCUUCUUCACUUAAGACCUUCUUAAAGAUCUACAACAUUGUAGCAGAUCUGUCUAGGAUUCAAGUUUUGUUUCUCUGUUGUCAACUCGUAUACCAUCAGUUAAGCUUUGCUUUCUAAUAUGUUUUAUGGCAAGGAAAAUGGGUGACAUGUCAUCAGUUCACACAAGUAUGGAAAUCUUAAUGGCAUAAUCUAAUAGCAGGGAGCAGUCUAGGAAUUCACCCCAUGUGACGGUUAAUUUUACAUGUCAACCUGACUAAGCUAUGGUGCCCAGGUGUUUGGUCAAACACCAAUCUAGAUGUUGCUGUGAAAGCAUUUCCUUGAAUGUGAUUAACAUUUAAAUAAUUAGAACCUGAAUCAGGCAAACUACCUUCUGCAAUGAGUGGGCCUUACCCAAUCAUUUGAAGGCCUCAUGAGCAAAAGAAAGAGAUCCUUUGGAGGCAGAAGAAAACUGGCCUGCAGACUGCCAGACUGCCUUCAGACUUGAGCCAAAACUGCAACUCUCCAGGAUUUCUAGACUUUCCAUCUGUGCAAACUUUAUAAUAAAUCUCUCUCUCUCUCUCUCUCUGUCUAUAUAUAUAUAAAUAUAUAUACACACACACAUAUAUACCUAUAUGUAUAUAUUUAUGUGUGUAUAUAAACCAAGAAAUGUAAAAAAUAACAAAUUUUAUUGAUUAGAUAUCUGCUAUACUCACUCUGACAGAAGCUUUAGCUGCUUUAUUGAAAUUUCAAGAUUAUCUUAUAAGAUAAAUAUUAAUAUUCCCACUUUUAAAAUAAGUAAACUGAGUUACAAAGAGAUUUAGCAGCUUCCUGAUAAGGCACUAGGAUUUGAUUUAAAUUCAAAUUUGCUGACUCUAAUGUCUUUUAACAACCACCACACAUCAACUUAUUGAAAUUCAUAACAACACUAAAGUUAUAUCAUUUUUUCUAUCAGCCUUCAAUACCUAAGUUUUUUUAAAAAAAAAUCACACACCCUUUGAUUUUAUCAUUUUGUAUGUCUUUCUCUCUUCCUUCAAUAUUUGCCUCCUCUUUGUCACCUGGAUUUCAAUACCCAAGUCCUGAACAUGGGGCACCUUUUUCUCCCAGACUCAGUUCCAUGUAAUGUAGAUGCACAGAUGAGCUAUACAUGGUCUGUGCCCCAGAGAAUAAAUCUUUAUGGAUGUUUCUCCCAUCGUACAUUUCUUUUUCAUUUUUCUGACUGUAACUUGAGUAACAAGAUACACUGGGGACUUUGUCACUAUUGAUGAAAUACAGGAUAAAAAUAAUUGUCACUAUAGGCUUAUCUUCUUCUCUAAUCAUUUAUGGAGCCCAUUAUGGAUGCUACUUAGCAUUGCCAAUUAACCAACAAAUACUUGAGUUUAUUCUUUGUCCUUUCCUGUUUCUGCAGCCAGGAAUAUAUAAUUCUAUAAGAUACACUAACUUGUGGCGGCAUUUACAGACUUUUAGGGAGACACAAUUAACAUAUAUAAAGCAAUUAGAGAGCAGCAUAAUCAAGAAUAUAUGUAAAUGACAAAUUGUUUGGAGAAGUGAGUUUACAGAUAACUUGAAUAACUGUAAAAGAAGUCAUUCCAGACCUAGAGCCAAUAAAAUUAGGAAAUUGAAAAAAGGAUGCAUGAGAUCCAUUUUGUGCAUUGUUUAGGUCGGUGUUUCUUAAACUUUACUGGGCAUUAGUACAACCCGAAGGACC